rnacentral:rRNA from 1 species
UACAGAGACUGCAAGCGUUAUUCGGAUUCACUGGGCGUAAAGGGUGCGCAGGCGGCCAAGUGUGUGAGGCGUGAAAGCCCGGGGCUUAACCCCGGAAUUGCACCUCAAACUACAUGGCUAGAGCAUUGGAGAGGGUAGCGGAAUUCACGGUGUAGCAGUGAAAUGCGUAGAUAUCGUGAGGAACACCAGAGGCGAAGGCGGCUACCUGGACAAUGACUGACGCUGAGACGCGAAAGCGUGGGGAGCAAACAGG